rnacentral:rRNA from 1 species
ACGUAGGUGGCGAGCGUUAUCCGGAUUUAUUGGGUUUAAAGGGUGCGUAGGCGGCUUAAUAAGUCGGUGGUCAAAGGUAGCAGCUUAACUGUUUUACAUGCCAUCGAUACUGUUUAGCUUGAGAUAUUUGGAGGCAGCUAGAAUUUCCGGUGUAGCGGUGAAAUGCUUAGAUACCGGAAGGAAUACCAAUUGCGAAGGCAGGUUGCUACAAAUUAUCUGACGCUGAGGCACGAAAGCGUGGGGAUCAAACAGG